rnacentral:rRNA from 1 species
GAUGAACGCUGGCGGCGUGCCUAAUACAUGCAAGUCGAGCGAACAGACGAGGAGCUUGCUCCUCUGACGUUAGCGGCGGACGGGUGAGUAACACGUGGAUAACCUACCUAUAAGACUGGGAUAACUUCGGGAAACCGGAGCUAAUACCGGAUAAUAUAUUGAACCGCAUGGUUCAAUAGUGAAAGACGGUUUUGCUGUCACUUAUAGAUGGAUCCGCGCCGCAUUAGCUAGUUGGUAAGGUAACGGCUUACCAAGGCAACGAUGCGUAGCCGACCUGAGAGGGUGAUCGGCCACACUGGAACUGAGACACGGUCCAGACUCCUACGGGAGGCAGCAGUAGGGAAUCUUCCGCAAAGGGCGAAAGCCUGACGGAGCAACGCCGCGUGAGUGAUGAAGGUCUUCGGAUCGUAAAACUCUGUUAUUAGGGAAGAACAAAUGUGUAAGUAACUAUGCACGUCUUGACGGUACCUAAUCAGAAAGCCACGGCUAACUACGUG